UUUACGGAGAAAAAUCCGUUAUCGAUUCUUUUAAUCAAAUUUUGAAACAUGUGAAGUAUGUGAAUGAGAGACAGCGUGGUAACUGUUUCUGAUACUUUUUGUUAUUUUAUACCUGUGGAUUUAUACAAGUUUUUGGAAGUGUUGGAUAAUAAUAAAGAAUGGUUGUUGCAGGCCAUUGGCAUUGACCGUGCUUAUAUGUAGAUUGUUUUUCAUUUUGGAUUAUUUGAAAAUUGUCGAUUAACCAUUUUAUCUGGUUUAACAUUUCGAACAGAAAUAACUUCAGUAGAGUUAAAGAGGCUGUUGAAACUAGACCUUCUAUUCUCUUCGCAACUUGCUGCAUUAGUAUACAGCAUACAACAAAUUUACAGAUCAAACAUUUUAGAUAGUAAAUACUGGAUGAUAUAAAUAAAAACAGUGCUGUACAAACUAUUUUGUGAGACAUUUUAACAUGGUAAUGCAUUUUUUUUUUAAUGUUUAUAUAUAUGAUUUUUAUUAAAAGUAUUUCUAUCUAAAGUUUGUAUUGUUUAUCAUCAUAAGCAAACUAGCGUUUCUUCUUUGGCUUCUUUGCAGCUGUUUCUCUUGUUGCAUCAUGAAGAUUUUCAGUUGGCGUCACAGGAGAUUUUUCAAAGCUUGGAUUUUUAUUUCUUGACUGCUUAGGAGUAUCAUGAGUAUUAUUAGUGCUAUCUUGAUCUCUGCCUUUUGUUGUUAAAUAUCUUGUUAUGCUCUCUUUAUGACCUGUAUUUUUGUUGCUCUUUGGCGUUUGACUUUGUUUUUUUUCUGGACAACGCACUUUCUUUAGUAUCAAGGAUUGACUGAGACUGUUCUGGGUCAUUAUCCGACUUCUUCCUUUCCUCGAUACUCAUUGAAGGCUUCGUUAUAUUUU